GAUCGGGGGCUGCCGCCCGCCCUAGUGAAGCUGAAAGCCCUAGUAAUCGCGUGUGAGCAGCGGGCGAUGAAUGUGUCCCUGCUCGUUGCACACACCGCCCGUCAAGCCACCUGAGUGAGGUUCAGAUGAGGCCUUGUCCCUCGGGUAAGGUCGAAUCUGAGUUUCGCAAGGGGGGCUAAGUCGUAACAAGGUAGCCGUAGGGGAACCUGCGGCUAGAUCACCUCCUA
rnacentral:rRNA from 1 species